UGUUCAGAUGAUUGAUCACUAUGUGUUUGUAACAGUUGACAGUGUUGGUUCGUAUAGAUAAUAACUGUAGUUCAGAUGAUUGAUCACUAUGUGUUUGUAACAGUUGACAGUGUUGGUUAGUAUAGAUAAAACAGAAGUUCAGAUGAUUGAUCACUAUGUGUUUGUAACAGUUGACAGUGUUGGUUGGUACAGAUAAUAACAGAAGUUCAGAUGAUUGAUCACUAUGUGUUUGUAACAGUUGACAGUGUUGGUUAGUACAGAUAACAACAGAAGUUCAGAUGAUUGAUCACUAUGUGUUUGUAACAGUUGACAGUGUUGGUUAGUACAGAAACAACAGUAGUUCAGAUGAUUGAUCACUAUGUGUUUGUAACAGUUGACAUUGUUGGUUAGUACAGAUAACAAUAGUAGUUCAGAUGAUUGAUCACUAUGUGUUUGUAACAGUUGACAUUGUUGGUUAGUACAGAUAACAACAGUAGUUCAGAUGAUUGAUCACUAUGUGUUUGUAACAGUUGACAGUGUUGGUUAGUACAGGUUAACAACAGUAGUUCAGAUGAUUGAUCACUAUGUGUUUGUAACAGUUGACAGUGUUGGUUAGUACAGAUAAUAACUGUAGUUCAGAUGAUUGAUCACUAUGUGUUUGUAACAGUUGACAAUGUUGGUUAGUAUAGAUAAAACAGAAGUUCAGAUGAUUGAUCACUAUGUGUUUGUAACAGUUGACAAUGUUGGUUAGUACAGAUAACAACAGUAGUUCAGCUGAUUGAUCACUAUGUGUUUGUAACAGUUGACAAUGUUGGUUAGUACAGGUUAACAACAGUAGUUCAGAUGAUUGAUCACUAUGUGUUUGUAACACUUGACAAUGUUGGUUAGAACAGAUAAAACAGAAGUUCAGAUGAUUGAUCACUAUGUAUUUGUAACAGUUGGCAGUUUUGGUUAGUACAGGUUAACAACAGUAGUUCAGAUGAUUGAUCACUAUAUGUUUGUAACAGUUGACAGUGUUGGUUAGUACAGGUUAACAACAGUAGUUCAGAUGAUUGAUCACUAUGUGUUUGUAACAGUUGACAGUGUUGGUUAGUACAGGUUAACAACAGUAGUUCAGAUGAUU